UCUUCAGUGAAAGUAUGUCUCGCAGACAACAGUAUCUUUCUCUUCUGGGUUGACCAUUCUUCCUUCUCAGGCAAUUGUUUCUAUCUACUCCAUCAAUUAAGUAUGCUACCCUUUAAUCCAUAGGAACUUCUCAUCAGUUGCAGGGUUUGGUUGCCCAAAAUCGAAUUGGCUUCACCAAAACUCCUCUUCUCUAGAAGCCUGGCCGGCAAAGUGUCCCGCUGGCAGUAGAGUGCUCAACUUCACCUUGCUUUUGUGACAUGCAUUCCAUAGUCAAGGAAUCUUUGACCAUAUGCAAUGGUUUUGCUCAUUUAUCCAUAUGGCUCAUUUAUCCAUAUGAACAAGGAUAAAUAGAUGCCUUGGAGACAUGAGCACAGCUGCAAUGUCAGAGCUUUGUUCUAUUGCCAUAGAUCUAGCAGAAUCAAAAUGAACAAUGUCAGUCUUUUCAUCUCUGUCCCGUAUGCACGGGUACUGCUUACUAGCUAUUCUGAUGAUGACAUUGUUUGAGUUUGUAACUGCAGAAUGACAAAGUGGUUAUAUCAUAUGGUCAGCAUUUUACCUCCGAGAGGUGACAACUAGAUCUUUGUUGCAGCGAAUGCGUUAACUUGCUUCGGCAACAAGAUUUAUAAAGACACUUCUUCUGUGGUGUAUCCUGUAUGUAUCAAGAAGCUUUUGGAUCUGAAUUAUGCAAUUACUAUGUUGUCUCUCUGCCCGACUGGUUUUCAGCCAGGAGCUAGAAUUGUUGCUUUGGUUGGAGAUUCAAGUUGCCAGGGCCAAGUUGAGAAAAGAACGCUUGAUUUCUUUUUUGGGAGGCUUUAGUUCAAUAUAACUGAAUUUUGGUAGACUGCAGAUGUUAGAACUGAACUUUUCCCAUCUUCACUUGCUGGAAAAGAAUUUACAGCUCGUGAAAGCAAAGCUAGAUAGCUAGUAUGCAAAAGCUUGAGACAAGUCUGCACAAACUGCACACAUCUGAUAUUCAUUUUCAGGGAAAUAAUAAGACUGGCAAGCUUCCUAACAAGUUGAUUCGUAAUCAAGUUAUGCAUCCCAAUAAGAUAAAAAUAUCGGAUGUCAAGUGUUAGCGGUGAUUCCAACUGACUUGCAUAUAAGUGGGUAAGCUGAUACAUCAAACAGAAAGGUGGUCUCCUGCCUC